rnacentral:sRNA from 1 species
UAUGUUAUAAUAAAAAAGAAGACGUGCUAGUAACACGUCCCCUUGAUGUAGAACCGUUUAAGACGGUAGCUUAGUUUAAUUAGUUAAAA